GGAGAGGUGGCAGAGUGGUUGAAUGCGGCGGCCUCGAAAACCGUUAUGGGGGCAACUCCAUCGGGGGUUCAAAUCCCUUCCUCUCCGCCA
rnacentral:tRNA from 1 species